UAAAUAGACCCCCUGCCUUCUGGGGAGGGGCUGUCUUCUUAGAGGGACUAUCGGCUUUUAGCCGAUGGAAGUUUGAGGCAAUAACAGGUCUGUGAUGCCCUUAGACGUUCUGGGCCGCACGCGUGCUACACUGACCGAGCCAGCGAGUCCUUUCCUUGGCCGGAAGGCCUG
rnacentral:rRNA from 1 species